rnacentral:rRNA from 1 species
CAACCUACCUAUCANAGGGGAAUAACCCGGCGAAAGUCGGACUAAUACCGCAUAAACAGGGGCACCGCAUGGUGAUAUUUGUUAAAGAAAUUCGCUGAUAGAUGGGCAUGCGUUCCAUUAGGUAGUUGGUGAGGUAACGGCUCACCAAGCCGACGAUGGAUAGGGGAACUGAGAGGUUGGUCCCCCACACUGGUACUGAGACACGGACCAGACUCCUACGGGAGGCAGCAGUGAGGAAUAUUGGUCAAUGGGCGGGAGCCUGAACCAGCCAAGUCGCGUGAAGGAAGAAGGAUCUAUGGUUCGUAAACUUCUUUUGCAGGGGAAUAAAGUGCAGGACGUGUCCUGUUUUGUAUGUACCCUGAGAAUAAGGAUCGGCUAACUCCGUGCCAGCAGCCGCGGUAAUACGGAGGAUCCGAGCGUUAUCCGGAUUUAUUGGGUUUAAAGGGUGCGUAGGUGGUUUGAUAAGUCAGCGGUGAAAGUUUGCAGCUUAACUGUAAAAAUGCCGUUGAAACUGUCGGACUUGAGUGUAAAUGAGGUAGGCGGAAUGCGUGGUGUAGCGGUGAAAUGCAUAGAUAUCACGAAGAACUCCGANUG